CCCAGGUCCUGUCACCACACGGCUCCUCAACAGUUGGAGGUCUCAAUGAGAUUUAAACCCCGGGCCUUCUCUACAGUAAACAGCUGCCUUACGCACUCCUCUGCUGUGAAGGAUCCUCUCAUGUGAUCUUUUCGAUAUAAAAGAAUCUUCCUGAUUUACCUGAUGGAUAGAGCCCAGGGCAAGAUGGCAGAGAGGAUACUAAAUCUCACCCUAGAGAUACUCUUCCAACUUACUGGAGAGGAUUACACAGUGGUGAAGAAGACCUCUAGCGAGCACUGUCAGGCUCCUGUAUCUGAAGGAUGGGGAAGAACCCGGAGCCCAAUCACUGGGCCUCUACCUCACUCCCUAAAACACAAAAUCAAUGAGCAGAAGAUCCUAGAACUCGCCCACAAGAUGGUGGAGCUGCUGACUGGAGAGAUUCCUAUAAGGUGUCAGGAUGUCACUGUCUAUUUCUCCAUGGAGGAGU